rnacentral:rRNA from 1 species
AGAGUUUGAUCCUGGCUCAGGACGAACGCUGGCGGCGUGCUUAACACAUGCAAGUCGAACGGAAAGGCCCUUCGGGGUACUCGAGUGGCGAACGGGUGAGUAACACGUGGGUGAUCUGCCCUGCACUCUGGGAUAAGCCUGGGAAACUGGGUCUAAUACCGGAUAGGACCGCAUGCUUCAUGGUGUGUGGUGCAAAGCUUUUGCGGUGUGGGAUGAGCCCGCGGCCUAUCAGCUUGUUGGUGGGGUAAUGGCCUACCAAGGCGACGACGGGUAGCCGGCCUGAGAGGGUGACCGGCCACACUGGGACUGAGAUACGGCCCAGACUCCUACGGGAGGCAGCAGUGGGGAAUAUUGCACAAUGGGCGCAAGCCUGAUGCAGCGACGCCGCGUGAGGGAUGACGGCCUUCGGGUUGUAAACCUCUUUCAGUAGGGACGAAGCGAAAGUGACGGUACCUACAGAAGAAGGACCGGCCAACUACGUGCCAGCAGCCGCGGUAAUACGUAGGGUCCGAGCGUUGUCCGGAAUUACUGGGCGUAAAGCGAGUGUAGGUGGUUGUCAUAGUCAGGUGUGAAAGCCUUGAGCUCAACUCAAGAAAUGCACUUGAUACUGGGCGACUAGAGGACCGGAGAGGAUAGUGGAAUUCCCAGUGUAGUGGUGAAAUACGUAGAGAUUGGGAAGAACACCAGUGGCGAAGGCGGCUAUCUGGACGGUUUCUGACACUAAGACUCGAAAGCGUGGGGAGCAAACAGGAUUAGAUACCCCGGUAGUCCAA